UAGAUACUCAGGCCAAAAGUUUUUCCCCGAUUUUUUUACAUUUUUACUAUCCGUAAAAAACAUAUUAGCCUAACAAAUGAAAUAAAGGAAAGAAAGUAAUUGAUUUUUAAUUAUAACUAGAAAAUCGGUUUGAGUCAACGAAAGUCCCGAGUGUUGCUGAAUUACAUGGAAAAGUAUUUCGAAAGUUUAUUGAUUUUUGAAAAAAAAAAAAUAAAAACAAAAGAAAAGUACGAAAUAAAAGGAUGGGAAAAAUUAUCGAAGAUGUGAAUGUAUAUAACCAACUGUCACCAUAGGAUCCUAUAAAGCUCAAGCUCAAGCACAAUUGACACUGACAUCGUCGUUCCAAGCCCUUCCAUUAUCGCGGUGUAAGAUCCGUCAAACUACUACUGCUACUACUACUACUACUUUC
rnacentral:lncRNA from 1 species